ACGGGUGAGUAACGCGUAGGAAUCUGCCUUGUAGAGGGGGACAACCCGGGGAAACUCGGGCUAAUACCGCAUAAUAAUCGAGAGAUGAAAGGGUGGGACCUUCGGGCCACUCGCUAUAAGAUGAGCCUGCGUUGGAUUAGCUAGUUGGUGGGGUAAAGGCCUACCAAGGCGACGAUCCAUAACUGGUCUGAGAGGAUGACCAGUCACACUGGGACUGAGACACGGCCCAGACUCCUACGGGAGGCAGCAGUGGGGAAUAUUGGACAAUGGGGGCAACCCUGAUCCAGCAAUGCCGCGUGUGUGAAGAAGGCCUGCGGGUUGUAAAGCACUUUUAGCGAUGAGGAAGGUUGUGGCGUUAAUAGCGCCAUGAUUUGACGUUAGUCGCAGAAAAAGCACCGGCUAACUCUGUGCCAGCAGCCGCGGUAAUACAGAGGGUGCAAGCGUUAAUCGGAAUGACUGGGCGUAAAGGGUGCGUAGGUGGCUUGAUAAGUCAGUUGUGAAAUCCCCGGGCUUAACCUGGGAACUGCAAUUGAUACUGUUAAGCUAGAGUUUGGGAGAGGGCAGUGGGAUUUCCGGUGUAGCGGU
rnacentral:rRNA from 1 species